UACAGAGGGGGCAAGCGUGUUCGGAAUUACCGGGCGUAAAGCGUGCGUAGACGGUUAUUUAAGUCGGGUGUGAAAGCCCCGGGCUCAACCUGGGAAUUGCAUUCGAGACUGAAUAGCUAGGGUGCGGUAGAGGGAAGCGGAAUUUCCGGUGUAGCGGUGAAAUGCGUAGAUAUCGGAAGGAACAUCAGUGGCGAAAGCGGCUUCCUGGACCAGCACCGACGUUCAGGCACGAAAGCGUGGGGAGCAAACAGG
rnacentral:rRNA from 1 species